rnacentral:rRNA from 1 species
GAUGAACGCUGACAGAAUGCUUAACACAUGCAAGUCUACUUGAAUUUGGGUUUUUAACUUAGAUUUGGGUGGCGGACGGGUGAGUAACGCGUAAAGAACUUGCCUCACAGCUAGGGACAACAUUUAGAAAUGAAUGCUAAUACCUAAUAUUAUGAUAAUAGGGCAUCCUAUAAUUAUGAAAGCUAUAUGCGCUGUGAGAGAGCUUUGCGUCCCAUUAGCUAGUUGGAGAGGUAACAGCUCACCAAGGCGAUGAUGGGUAGCCGGCCUGAGAGGGUGAUCGGCCACAAGGGGACUGAGACACGGCCCUUACUCCUACGGGAGGCAGCAGUGGGGAAUAUUGGACAAUGGACCGAGAGUCUGAUCCAGCAAUUCUGUGUGCACGAUGAAGUUUUUCGGAAUGUAAAGUGCUUUCAGUUGGGAAGAAAGAAAUGACGGUACCAACAGAAGAAGUGACGGCUAAAUACGUGCCAGCAGCCGCGGUAAUACGUAUGUCACGAGCGUUAUCCGGAUUUAUUGGGCGUAAAGCGCGUCUAGGUGGUUAUAUAAGUCUGAUGUGAAAAUGCAGGGCUCAACUCUGUAUUGCGUUGGAAACUGUAUAACUAGAGUACUGGAGAGGUAAGCGGAACUACAAGUGUAGAGGUGAAAUUCGUAGAUAUUUGUAGGAAUGCCGAUGGGGGAAGCCAGCUUACUGGACAGAUACUGACGCUGAAGCGCGAAAGCGUGGGUAGCAAACAGG